UGCUAUGGCGGCUGUGCGCGGGACACCUUCGGGUGUGCCGGAGGUUCCGUGAAUUCCUCUGGUCGGCUAACCCGCGUGCAGCUGCCACCCUC
rnacentral:antisense_RNA from 4 species